GGAGAGACAUAAAGGAAAUUCUUGGCUCUGGGAUCUGGGAAUAAGAGAGUUUGCCACUUUCAAAUGACCCACUGGGAUCUGGCCCAAUAGAAUUACAGACGAAAAAUCCUCCUGGUCUUCAGCCACCUGCCCAAAUUUAACGUUGAUUUUACACUUCCUAAAGUUGCAGCAAUGAUCUUCAUGUCUUAGGGGCUGCUGCUGAUUUACCACAUCAGAUAGAAAACUAAGCAUGUCUCGAAGAAAUCUCACCUCACUGCCAGCUUUCUUCUUGAUGUGAAUCCUAUGUGAACUCUAAGGUCUCCUAAUACAGUUCUUCCAUCUGCUCUGGAUUCACAUCCAGGAACAGGCAUCGGGUGGUCACCCUGGGCUUUCUCUAAGGUCCACCAUGGCCUGCAGGGCCCGCCCUCCAGACUAGCCACCAGUAGAGCAUCUCUGAAAGCAUCAGUCAGCUCUGUGUCCUCCUUGCCUUGCUUCAUUUUGAAAAAAUCUGCAUUAAAUGUAAAAGAAAUUAUUCACUGUUCCCAGUUAUUUUUUAGCAACUCCUUUCCAUAAUUUGCAAAUAGUGAUGUCUGCUUCCUGUUAUUUUGUAUUUUCUUCUGUUAUUUCUAAGAUGAUUUGAGAUAGAAGUGGUGUGUUGUGCAAAUUACCACAGCCCUUAUUACCGACAUGAAGGUCUGUCAAACUAACCAAUGAGCUAGAAAUUCCAAAAUUUUCCAAGUGGAUCAGCCUUGAGGAAAGAAAAGAGAGAGGUAAAGAGAACAGAACGCCUUUAAGAAUUGCACUCUUGGUGAGUCUCAAAUAUCACAUCUGUCAUUUGGGCAAGCCAUCUUAUUCAUUCUGCUUUUAGCUCAAUUUUCAGGUGAGUCACCUCAAAACCAUGCUGCAAAAUGGCCCAGUUGCAGCAGGGAGCAAUGAAGCUUCCCAGAAUCUUGUGAAAUAACAUGAUUUGUGAGCAGAACCUCCCAAACAAUAUUUCUCAGGGUUAUUUAAAGCUCUUGCUUUUCCUUUCUCCCUAAUAAUGUUAACUCAGAUGAGUACAUGGAGCUUUAUAAUGCUAAUCUAGAAAAAAAAGAAAAGGUAUUAUUAUUAUUAUUAUUAUUAUUAUUAUUAUUAUUAUUAUUAUUAUUAAAUAAGAAUCCACUUAUAGAAAUAACAUUUGCAUUGUGUUCCAUAUUACACUGUAAAAGCAUCAAGGUGGAAUUAAACAUUGUUCUUAAAGUCA